rnacentral:sRNA from 1 species
AAUUAACGCGUCGUUUAAUUUUUUUUAACGGUAAAUUUCCGUAAUUUUGUUAUAAUUUUGUUAAUUACCGUCGUUUAUUUUAUUUGGUUGGGUAUCGGAGAUAAAUUCAUUAUAAUUUUAAAUAUUGCCCCAAAUAUUAAUAAUAUUAAUACCAAACCGUUCGGUUUUGCGGUGUCGUUAACCGUUUUUACCGCUAUUUGCAAAAUAAUCUUUUGCGAAUAUUCCGUACCGCAUUCGGCACGGAUAAUUUCGUACGUUCGUUUUAAUAAUAUAUGGAAUUUUUCAAUUUUAUUUAUUACCCAAUAUAUUUCCACCGGUAUUUGGUUAUAUAAUAUAUUUAAUAACCGUAUUUUUGCGUGGAAUUUGGUUAUACGGAAAUUGGGUUCCGGGUCGAACGUUAAUAUAUUAGGUGGUUUUAAAUAUGUAUUAAUCUAAUAUUAUUUUAACGUUUCCCAGGUUUUUUUAACUAAUAUAUCCGUUAAAAAUUUAAUUAUUUGGAAAGCGGUAUUUAUAUUAAUUAUAUAAAAUACCGGGCGUUUUUUUAGGUAUAUUAUAUCGAUAAUUAUUUCGUAAUUAAAAUCGAUAUCGUUUUUUAGGGCGCAUUUAAAACGUUGGGGCGUUUUUCCCUUUUUUUGGCAAAAAUGGCAGAUUUUGUUAAUUAUUUUUAUAAUUUUAAAAUUUGUUUUUUUUUACCCGUUAUAGGAAUUUUUAUAAUUUAUUAAUUAA